rnacentral:rRNA from 1 species
CCUACGGGAGACAGCAGUGGGGAAUAUUGGGCAAUGGGCGCAAGCCUGACCCAGCAACGCCGCGUGAAGGAAGAAGGCUUUCGGGUUGUAAACUUCUUUUCUGAGGGACGAAGAAAGUGACGGUACCUCAGGAAUAAGCCACGGCUAACUACGUGCCAGCAGCCGCGGUAAUACGUAGGUGGCAAGCGUUAUCCGGAUUGAUUGGGUGUAAAGGGCGUGAAGGUGGGAAAGCAAGUCAGAUGUGAAAACUCAGGGCUCAACCCUGAGACUGCAUUUGAAACUGUUGUUCUUGAGUGCUGGAGAGGCAAACGGAAUUCCGUGUGUAGCGGUGAAAUGCGUAGAUAUACGGAGGAACACCAGUGGCGAAGGCGAAUUGCUGGACAGUAACUGACGCUGAGGCGCGAAAGCGUGGGGAGCAAACAGGAUUAGAUACCCUUGUAGUC